AGAAAAAUGAAACGCGACGGUUGGCCAGCUGUUUGUAUCUACGGAGAUAAGACGCAGCAAAAAAGAGAUUGGGUAUUACAAGAUUUUAGAUCAGGCAAAGCACCUAUUCUUGUUGCAACAGAUGUAGCUGUACGUGGACUUGGGGAUCUAUAAUUAAGGCAGUAAAUAACGGAAUAAAUCAUAUUUAUCCAAAUUUUGUACCAGAAGGAUAUUUGUGCAAUGCACUCUUCUAGUUAUACGAUUUAGUAGGAUAGUAAAAAAAGAGCAUUAUUUUAGAAUUUUAUUAUUAGCAAAAAAGAACCAAAUGAUAUCUAUUGAAAUUGAUUAUUUAUAAAUUGUUGAUAAAAGCUUAUUUAGAAAUAUUUUGAAAAUAAUUUGCCGCGCGCUUUAUCAAUAAUUCCUCUUAUGAAGCUAAAACAAGAAUUUAGUAAAAAAGAAAA